GUAGAGGUGGGUCGUGCAUGCCAGGUACACCUGCCUCAGGUGUUGCCUAGGGGACGUCGGCUGGAUGCCACCAAGAGCCCUCUUGGUUCAAAGAAGAUCUGCUGCCACCUCCUCCCAGGGCCUCCAUGAGGACAAAGAGGGCAACCUGAAAAUUCUAUGUCCACUUUAAUACCCAGGCCCGCUGAAGCGUGCUUGAAAAGGAAACAACAAAACCUCCAGAGAGAAAACAAAAAUGCAGCAAUGCAGCAACACACCCAGCAGGUCCAUUUUAGGCCUCAGGAAGCGUGGCUCACGGUUCUGGAAAGGUCGCUGUGGAAUGUUGCGCAGGAGUGUCCACCUGCCUGGAAUGGCUUUUGCCUCCUUCUGGGUGGGAGUGGCUGUUUCGUCACCCCUUUUCCCCAACAGCCGGAUUUUUAUUUUUAUUGCUUAAGAGUUAACCAUUUUACACAGAAGAACACACAGCGAACGGACACAGAGAGCAGACAACUGGGGGGUUGGGAGGAGAGAAAAAAAAUCUUAAAAAAAAAAGUUAACUGUUUUAAAGUGAACACUUCGGUGGCAUUUAGUACAUCCACUAUAUUGUGCGACAACCGCCUCGGGCUAGCCGGGGGCUCUUCCACCACCGCAGAGGAAACCCUGUCCCCACUAAGCGGGCACUCCCAUUUCUCCCGCCCCCCGCCCCUGACAACCUCUAAUCUGCUUCUGUUUCUACGGAUUUACCUAAUCCUGGAUAUUUUAUAUAAAUGGAAUUAUAAAAUAUGCGGCCUUUUGUGUUUGGCUUUUCCAUUUAGCAUAAUAUUUUCUGGGCUCAGCCAUGUUGCUGCGUGCACUGGAGCUUCAUUCCCUU
rnacentral:lncRNA from 1 species